CAUAGUGUGAAUCUCGGCCCUCCAAAAUAAAUCAAAUGGCUGAGAUUAAUCCAUAUCAUCACGAGUUAAAAUUUGACUCCCAGUACCUGAAAUUUGACUCACAGUAAAAUUAUUACUCCUUAGUAAGUCUGCGAGUAAAAUUUUAACUCAUGAUGACGUGGACAAAUCUCAACCAUUGGAUUUGUGUUGGAGGGCCGAGAUUCACCCUAUG
rnacentral:pre_miRNA from 1 species